UUUGACCAUCUAUUAUCUCAAUGCUACUGCCAAGGGCCAGAAGGCAGCAAACCUGGAUCUCAAAAAGAAGAUGAAAAUGCAAGCGCUGGAGAACAAGAUGCGGAACAAGAAGAUGGCGGCCGCCCGCGCAGCCGCAGCUGGUGGUGGCCAGUAACUCGCACAGAUAUCUGGAUGGUUUCUUUCUGUUGAAGAAACAACCCCUUGUUCUACCCCAGACGGAUUAUCAAGGUCAUGUUCUUGCAUAAAAGCAUCAUCAGUCCCACGUGGGCCAGGGGUCUCCACCUCUUCUCAAUUACAGAUCUGUUCCUGCGCCACUGCUUUUUGCCCUGCUCUGCCCCCCUGCUUUAAUGCAGUAAAUUGCUGGUGUGACCCAGCUAUGUAGGCUAGGAUGGGGGUUAAUUUUAAAAACAAUGCUUGUUUGCUAAAGCCCAUUUCUUCAGCCUUGUCUUGAGCUACGCGUGACUUUACCUUCCUGUUUUUCCGUCUAAGCUCAGAAAAUAAGGAACUCACCUACUUUUACGAGAGCAGAAACAUAUAUAUAUAUAU